GCACAAGCAGUGGAGUAUGUGGUUUAAUUCGAAGCAACGCGAAGAACCUUACCAGGGCUUGACAUCCCUUGAAGCAGCUAGAGAUAGCUGUGUCCUUCGGGACAAGGAGACAGGUGGUGCAUGGUUGUCGUCAGCUCGUGUCGUGAGAUGUUGGGUUAAGUCCCGCAACGAGCGCAACCCUUGUCUUUAAUUGCCAGCAUUCAGUUGGGCACUUUAGAGAGACUGCCGGUGUUAAGCCGGAGGAAGGUGGGAUGACGUCAAGUCCUCAUGGCCUUUAUGUCCAGGGCUACACACGUGCUACAAUGGAUGGUACAAAGAGCAGCGACCUCGCGAGAGUGAGCAAAUCUCAAAAACCCAUCCUCAGUUCGGAUUGGAGUCUGCAACUCGACUCCAUGAAGUUGGAAUCGCUAGUAAUCGCGGAUCAGCAUGCCGCGGUGAAUACGUUCCCGGGCCUU
rnacentral:rRNA from 1 species